rnacentral:rRNA from 1 species
UACGGAGGAUGCGAGCGUUAUCCGGAUUUAUUGGGUUUAAAGGGUGCGUAGGCGGAUCGUUAAGUCAGUGGUCAAAUUGAGGGGCUCAACCCCUUCCCGCCAUUGAAACUGGCGAUCUUGAGUGGAAGAGAAGUAUGCGGAAUGCGUAGUGUAGCGGUGAAAUGCAUAGAUAUCACGCAGAACCCCGAUUGCGAAGGCAGCAUGCCGGCUUCCUACUGACGCUGAAGCACGAAAGCGUGGGGAUCGAACAGG